rnacentral:rRNA from 1 species
AUUGAACGCUGGCGGAAUGCUUUACACAUGCAAGUCGAACGGCAGCACGGGGGCAACCCUGGUGGCGAGUGGCGAACGGGUGAGUAAUGUAUCGGAACGUACCCCGUCGUGGGGGAUAACUCUCCGAAAGGAGAGCUAAUACCGCAUGCGACCUGAGGGUGAAAGCGGGGGACCUGCAAGGGCCUCGCGCGAUGGGAGCGGCCGAUAUCGGAUUAGCUAGUUGGUGAGGUAAAGGCUCACCAAGGCGACGAUCCGUAGCGGGUCUGAGAGGACGACCCGCCACACUGGAACUGAGACACGGUCCAGACUCCUACGGGAGGCAGCAGUGGGGAAUAUUGGUCAAUGGGCGAAAGCCUGAACCAGCCAUGCCGCGUGCAGGAAGACUGCCCUAUGGGUUGUAAACUGCUUUUAUACAGGAAGAAACACUCCCUCGUGAGGGAGCUUGACGGUACUGUAUGAAUAAGCACCGGCUAACUCCGUG